UUACAUACCUGGACGGGGUCUAUGGGUGAUCAGGUAGGCUCAUGGCCUAGGUGGAUGACCUUCAUUGCACAUUGAGAGGUGCAUUUGCCUAACAUCUCCCUUGUGGAGACUGUACGUCAAAAUUUAUGGCAGUGGGGACUGUAUGAAUGCGGUCCCUGC